rnacentral:lncRNA from 1 species
GACCAAGAAGAUCGGGAUCAUCAGGAAAUACGGGACCCGUUAUGGUGCUUCCCUCCAGAAAAUGGUGAAGAAAAUUGAAAUCAGCCAGCAAGCCAAGUACACUUGUUCCUUCUGCAGCAAGACGAAGAUGAAGAGACAGACGAGCCGUCAGCAUCUGGCACUGUGGUUCCUGCAUGAAAACAGUGGCCGCUGGGGCCUGGACCUACAACACUACCUCUGAAGUCACAGUGAAGUCGGCCAUC